rnacentral:rRNA from 1 species
AUGGCUUUCUUCCGCCACCUCCCGCACCUCCCGCACCCUCCACCUCCACGCCACCUCCCGCACCCGAUGGCUUUCUUCGGCGGCAGCAGCAGCACCGGUGGCGGCGCCGCCGACAACGCCCCCGGCGCAUGGCCGACGAGCAUCGGAGGGCCGGAGACGGAGGAGCUCCACCACUACUGCCUCCCCGUGCCGCCGGGCUGCCGUCUACCGCGCAACUGGAAGAUCGACGCGGAGGGCUUUGCGACGUUGGGUCCCGGCGCGACGGAGGAGGAGCUCCGCAACCACAGCGGCGGCCGGCACAACAUCGAAGGCCGAAAGCGGUUUUGGCGCGGGAAGGACUAUUGGGAGGUGAUGGCGGCCUUCCGCCUUGCCGCGGCCGGCGAGACCCCCGAUCUGACGGGCCGCAGCGGCCGUCUUCGUGCACCGCCUCCACCGCAAUAUCGCCGCAGACGUGGCGGCGGCCACGGUGUGUACCCGGCACGGGCGCCCGCGCCGGCCGCUCCUCCCUUGCCGCCGGGGAUCGAGUUGCCGCCGGAGCAGGUCAUCCUCCGCGAGGACGGUGAUCCGGAUGACACGCCGGGGUACCACGUCGCCCUACGGGCGUCGGAGGCUGCAGCGGCGGCGGCGGAGGCGAUGGAGGCCGCCGAGAUUGCGGACGCAAUCCAGGCGGCCGAGGCGGCGCAGCAGGCGGCGAUGGCGGCGCAGCAGGCGGCGAUGGUGGCGCCGGAGUGGCAGCAGGUGCCGCCGGAGUGGCAGCAAGCGCCGGCGGCGGCGGAGGAGGAGGAUUCCGACGACGAUCCGAUAGACUGGGACGACCUCGCGAACCGGUCCAGCAGCGACGAUGACGGCGGCGACGGCCCGGCCGUCAUUGACCUCGUCAAUAGCGACGACGAGUAG